UGUUCAAAAGUUUGGUGAAAGAAGAGAAAGAAAUUUUAAAUAUGGUAUUAGCUACAUUUCCAGUUGAACAAUUUCAUUAAGCAGCUCUGGAGAUUCAAGAAAUCAAGAAGUUACACAUAAUAUGAACAGAUGAAAGAUGAUAAUACUACAAAUGCUCUAUUACAUUCAGACACUUAUAGAAUGCCCGAGCCUGAGAGCAAGGAGAUACCCAAGGGAUGUACUUUCUAACUAAGACAUCUACAUCUCCACUCAGCUGCUUCCAUUUUGACCAUUGCAGAAAUACAGAAAGACAAAAAGCUGUAACAAAUUUUUUAUAAGCCUAUUUAGAUUUCAGACAUGUUAUAAAAUUAUUCUGUAGGAUAAAAGUCAUCUGAAUUUAAGCUUAGGAUUUUUAAAAACCUCUCUAAAAAGCUCUUCAAGUGUUCCUCAAUUAUGGACAAUUUACAAAAUGUUUAUUCACAAAGGGAUAUGAACUUUGGAUGCAGCUUAACACCUAGUUCCUUCUCAUUAUCAAAUUUUUUUGUGUCCUAAGGAUUUUAUGCUAAUGCUCAAUAUCUGUCAAAUGAUCAAGUCAUUAAUACUAGAAAAUAAUAAAUAUGCUUUGGGAUUUUGCAUUUUUUCCAUUUAUAACUAAGACACUUAUUGGGGUGCAUCUAGCUAUAUCACGCUUAUAAUCAUGCUCCUUUGCUGUUAAAUCAUCUAUUUCCAUUUGCUUGGACAAUCAAGUCUUUGUACCUACUCAGUGAAAGGAGUAAGUUAACUUGAAAAACAAGACCGGUGACUGUGUAGUGCUAACUCUGAAGGAAGGUUAGUUUGGUUUAGCAACACCAACUGUAAUAGCCAGAAGUUCCCUAUAUAUCAGAUAACAGGUACAGUGUUCCAGCUUGAUGCAACCAUUGAAAAAUAAUCACAUAAAACUGAAGCGUUAAAGAAAGGGGGCUUUCUAUGAAUCAUUCCACACAGUCCGGGCCACAUAAUUACAGAAAUAAUCACAUGGCCGGCCUGUGUGAGAUCUUGGUCAAAAUGUGACUAAGGGCUGUGACACAUUUAUCCAAUUAUGGCACUUUGUUAUUUCUUCUGUGAACAACUGUUUUAUGUUUUUUCCUUUACAGAUAAAGACCAUUUGCUACAAAGCUAGCAAGUGCAGUGUGAAUUUUUGAUACUAUACCAAAUGAAUACAACUUCUGCCUUGCAAAUUGUUUUCUCAGUCAGCUUUAGCUCAAAACCAAGUAAUGUUUAAAUACUUAACUUUUCUCUCUGAAAUCACAAUACAUCUCUCCUUUAGGAACAAAGUCCCGUGACUUCUCUGAUUACCCCAAAAAGCCCUUGUCUUGUCUUUUGUUGACCCCCCCAGAGGCGAGCCGAAUGACCUGUGGAGCUCCUACGAGGUUGACAUGGGUUUUGGGUUCUGUCUAGAUGGAGCCCAAUGAAGCCCAAGGGCUAGGAGAAACACAGCCCAACCCUGCCUUUCAGAUGGCAAUGCCAUGGUCCUGGCCAGGGAGAAGAGGAACAGGGGAGGAGAGGUUGUGGAAAAGCUGGAACUCUCACACACCCUGCUGCAGAGAACAGAAAAUUGUACCAUCACUCUGAAAACAGGACGAAGGACACCGAGAACAACUUGAAACUGAGCAAGGUGAAUUACAUGUCAUGGUCCCUGGGACUCCCAGCCUACCAUGAGCCUGGGCAUGAAAAUGAUGUUCCACUUCAAACCGUAACUAGUGAAUUGAAAACCUGUAAUAGAUACAAAUACAUGAAAAGAGAAAGAAAG